rnacentral:rRNA from 1 species
UUAAGCGACUAAGCGUACACGGUGGAUGCCCUGGCAGUCAGAGGCGAUGAAGGACGUGCUAAUCUGCGAAAAGCGUCGGUAAGGUGAUAUGAACCGUUAUAACCGGCGAUGUCCGAAUGGGGAAACCCAGUGCAAUUCGUUGCACUAUCGUUAACUGAAUACAUAGGUUAACGAGGCGAACCGGGGGAACUGAAACAUCUAAGUACCCCGAGGAAAAGAAAUCAACCGAGAUUCCCCCAGUAGCGGCGAGCGAACGGGGAGCAGCCCAGAGUCUGAAUCAGCUUGUGUGUUAGUGGAACGGUCUGGAAAGUCCGACGGUACAGGGUGAUAGUCCCGUACACCAAAAUGCACAGGUUGUGAACUCGAAGAGUAGGGCGGGACACGUGGUAUCCUGUCUGAAUAUGGGGGGACCAUCCUCCAAGGCUAAAUACUCCUGACUGACCGAUAGUGAACCAGUACCGUGAGGGAAAGGCGAAAAGAACCCCGGCGAGGGGAGUGAAAAAGAACCUGAAACCGUGUACGUACAAGCAGUGGGAGCACCUUCGGGUGUGACUGCGUACCUUUUGUAUAAUGGGUCAGCGACUUAUAUUCUGUAGCAAGGUUAACCGUAUAGGGGAGCCGCAGGGAAACCGAGUCUUAACUGGGCGUUAAGUUGCAGGGUAUAGACCCGAAACCCGGUGAUCUAGCCAUGGGCAGGUUGAAGGUUGGGUAACACUAACUGGAGGACCGAACCGACUAAUGUUGAAAAAUUAGCGGAUGACUUGUGGCUGGGGGUGAAAGGCCAAUCAAACCGGGAGAUAGCUGGUUCUCCCCGAAAGCUAUUUAGGUAGCGCCUCGUGAACUCAUCUUCGGGGGUAGAGCACUGUUUCGGCUAGGGGGUCAUCCCGACUUACCAACCCGAUGCAAACUACGAAUACCGAAGAAUGUUAUCACGGGAGACACACGGCGGGUGCUAACGUCCGUCGUGAAGAGGGAAACAACCCAGACCGCCAGCUAAGGUCCCAAAGUCAUGGUUAAGUGGGAAACGAUGUGGGAAGGCACAGACAGCCAGGAUGUUGGCUUAGAAGCAGCCAUCAUUUAAAGAAAGCGUAAUAGCUCACUGGUCGAGUCGGCCUGCGCGGAAGAUGUAACGGGGCUAAACCAUGCACCGAAGCUGCGGCAGCGACGCUUAUGCGUUGUUGGGUAGGGGAGCGUUCUGUAAGCCUGCGAAGGUGACCUGUGAGGGUUGCUGGAGGUAUCAGAAGUGCGAAUGCUGACAUAAGUAACGAUAAAGCGGGUGAAAAGCCCGCUCGCCGGAAGACCAAGGGUUCCUGUCCAACGUUAAUCGGGGCAGGGUGAGUCGACCCCUAAGGCGAGGCCGAAAGGCGUAGUCGAUGGGAAACAGGUUAAUAUUCCUGUACUUGGUGUUACUGCGAAGGGGGGACGGAGAAGGCUAUGUUAGCCGGGCGACGGUUGUCCCGGUUUAAGCAUGUAGGCUGGUUAUCCAGGCAAAUCCGGAUAAUCAAGGCUGAGGUGUGAUGACGAGGCACUACGGUGCUGAAGUAACAAAUGCCCUGCUUCCAGGAAAAGCCUCUAAGCAUCAGGUAACAUCAAAUCGUACCCCAAACCGACACAGGUGGUCAGGUAGAGAAUACCAAGGCGCUUGAGAGAACUCGGGUGAAGGAACUAGGCAAAAUGGUGCCGUAACUUCGGGAGAAGGCACGCUGGUGUGUAGGUGAAGUCCCUGCGGAUGGAGCUGAGACCAGUCGAAGAUACCAGCUGGCUGCAACUGUUUAUUAAAAACACAGCACUGUGCAAACACGAAAGUGGACGUAUACGGUGUGACGCCUGCCCGGUGCCGGAAGGUUAAUUGAUGGGGUUAUCCGUAAGGAGAAGCUCUUGAUCGAAGCCCCGGUAAACGGCGGCCGUAACUAUAACGGUCCUAAGGUAGCGAAAUUCCUUGUCGGGUAAGUUCCGACCUGCACGAAUGGCGUAAUGAUGGCCAGGCUGUCUCCACCCGAGACUCAGUGAAAUUGAACUCGCUGUGAAGAUGCAGUGUACCCGCGGCAAGACGGAAAGACCCCGUGAACCUUUACUAUAGCUUGACACUGAACAUUGAGCCUUGAUGUGUAGGAUAGGUGGGAGGCUUUGAAGCGUGGACGCCAGUCUGCGUGGAGCCAACCUUGAAAUACCACCCUUUAAUGUUUGAUGUUCUAACGUUGGCCCCUUAUCGGGGUUGCGGACAGUGUCUGGUGGGUAGUUUGACUGGGGCGGUCUCCUCCCAAAGCGUAACGGAGGAGCACGAAGGUUAGCUAAUCCUGGUCGGACAUCAGGAGGUUAGUGCAAUGGCAUAAGCUAGCUUGACUGCGAGCGUGACGGCGCGAGCAGGUGCGAAAGCAGGUCAUAGUGAUCCGGUGGUUCUGAAUGGAAGGGCCAUCGCUCAACGGAUAAAAGGUACUCCGGGGAUAACAGGCUGAUACCGCCCAAGAGUUCAUAUCGACGGCGGUGUUUGGCACCUCGAUGUCGGCUCAUCACAUCCUGGGGCUGAAGUAGGUCCCAAGGGUAUGGCUGUUCGCCAUUUAAAGUGGUACGCGAGCUGGGUUUAGAACGUCGUGAGACAGUUCGGUCCCUAUCUGCCGUGGGCGCUGGAGAAUUGAGGGGGGCUGCUCCUAGUACGAGAGGACCGGAGUGGACGCAUCACUGGUGUUCGGGUUGUCAUGCCAAUGGCACUGCCCGGUAGCUAAAUGCGGAAGAGAUAAGUGCUGAAAGCAUCUAAGCACGAAACUUGCCCCGAGAUGAGUUCUCCCUGAGACUUUAAGUCUCCUGAAGGAACGUUAAAGACGAUGACGUUGAUAGGCCGGGUGUGUAAGCGCAGCGAUGCGUUGAGCUAACCGGUACUAAUGAACCGUGAGGCUUAACCUU